rnacentral:rRNA from 1 species
CAUGCAGUCGAGCGGAUGAGAAGAGCUUGCUCUUCGAUUCAGCGGCGGACGGGUGAGUAAUGCCUAGGAAUCUGCCUGGUAGUGGGGGACAACGUUUCGAAAGGAACGCUAAUACCGCAUACGUCCUACGGGUAGAAAGCAGGGGACCUUCGGGCCUUGCGCUAUCAGAUGAGCCUAGGUCGGAUUAGCUAGUUGGUGAGGUAAUGGCUCACCAAGGCGACGAUCCGUAACUGGUCUGAGAGGAUGAUCAGUCACACUGGAACUGAGACACGGUCCAGACUCCUACGGGAGGCAGCAGUGGGGAAUAUUGGACAAUGGGCGAAAGCCUGAUCCAGCCAUGCCGCGUGUGUGAAAAAGGUCUUCGGAUUGUAAAGCACUUUAAGUUGGGAGGAAGGGCAUUAACCUAAUACGUUAGUGUUUUGAGGUUACCGAGAGAAUAAGCACCGGCUAACUCUGUGCCGGCAGCCGCGGUAAUACAGAGGGUGCUAGCGUUAAUCGGAAUUACUGGGCGUAAAGCGCGCGUAGGUGGUGUGUCAAGUUGGAUGUGAAAGCCCCGGGCUCAACCUGGGAAC